rnacentral:rRNA from 1 species
GGGUGCGAUCAUACCAGCACUCAUGUACUAGAUCCCAUCAGAACUCCAAAGUUAAGCGUGCUUGCGCAAGAGAAGACAGGCUUUGUUACAGAACUUC